UACGUAGGGGGCUAGCGUUGUCCGGAAUCAUUGGGCGUAAAGAGCGUGUAGGCGGUCCGGUAAGUCCGCUGUGAAAGUCGGGGGCUCAACCCUCGAAUGCCGGUGGAUACUGCAGGGCUAGAGUCCGGAAGAGGCGAGUGGAAUUCCUGGUGUAGCGGUGAAAUGCGCAGAUAUCAGGAGGAACACCGAUGGCGAAGGCAGCUCGCUGGGACGGUACUGACGCUGAGGCGCGAAAGCGUGGGGAGCAAACAGG
rnacentral:rRNA from 1 species